rnacentral:tRNA from 1 species
GCUAUUUUGGCAGAAAAGUGUAAUGAUUUUAGAAUUCAUAAAUAUAUAAUUUAUUAUAUAGAUAGUA